rnacentral:rRNA from 1 species
CACCGCCCGUCACAUCACGAAAAGCCGGCUGUACCGGAAGUCGCUGUGCCAACCGCAAGGAGGCAGGUGCCCAUGGUAUGGUCGGUGAUUGGGGUG